rnacentral:misc_RNA from 1 species
CAGCAACAGACUCUGGUAGUGAGUCAU